CUGAUGCGCCAUGCCGCGUGUAUGAAGAAGGCCUUCGGGUUGUAAAGUACUUUCAGUUGUGAGGAAGGGGGUAGCGUUAAUAGCGCUAUCUCUUGACGUUAGCAACAGAAGAAGCACCGGCUAACUCCGUGCCAGCAGCCGCGGUAAUACGGAGGGUGCGAGCGUUAAUCGGAAUUACUGGGCGUAAAGCGCAUGCAGGUGGUUCAUUAAGUCAGAUGUGAAAGCCCGGGGCUCAACCUCGGAACUGCAUUUGAAACUGGUGAACUAGAGUACUGUAGAGGGGGGUAGAAUUUCAGGUGUAGCGGUGAAAUGCGUAGAGAUCUGAAGGAAUACCAGUGGCGAAGGCGGCCCCCUGGACAGAUACUGACACUCAGAUGCGAAAGCGUGGGGAGCAAACAGGAUUAGAUACCCUGGUAGUCCACGCCGUAAACGAUGUCUACUUGGAGGUUGUGGCCUUGAGCCGUGGCUUUCGGAGCUAACGCGUUAAGUAGACCGCCUGGGGAGUACGGUCGCAAGAUUAAAACUCAAAUGAAUUGACGGGGGCCCGCACAAGCGGUGGAGCAUGUGGUUUAAUUCGAUGCAACGCGAAGAACCUUACCUACUCUUGACAUCCAGAGAAGCCAGCGGAGACGCAGGAGUGCCUUCGGGAGCUCUGAGACAGGUGCUGCAUGGCUGUCGUCAGCUCGUGUUGUGAAAUGUUGGGUUAAGUCCCGCAACGAGCGCAACCCUUAUCCUUGUUUGCCAGCGAGUAAUGUCGGGAACUCCAGGGAGACUGCCGGUGAUAAACCGGAGGAAGGUGGGGACGACGUCAAGUCAUCAUGGCCCUUACGAGUAGGGCUACACACGUGCUACAAUGGCGCAUACAGAGGGCAGCAAGCUAGCGAUAGUGAGCGAAUCCCAAAAAGUGCGUCGUAGUCCGGAUUGGAGUCUGCAACUCGACUCCAUGAAGUCGGAAUCGCUAGUAAUCGUAGAUCAGAAUGCUACGGUGAAUACGUUCCCGGGCCUUGUACACACCGCCCGUCACACCAUGGGAGUGGGCUGCAAAAGAAGUGGGUAGUUUAACCUUUCGGGGAGGACGCUCACCACUUUGUGGUCAUGAUGGGUGACG
rnacentral:rRNA from 1 species